ensembl:misc_RNA Metazoa_SRP Metazoan signal recognition particle RNA
AUAAGGCAUAUAGGUGUUAUGUGCCUGUAGUCCCAGCUACUUGGGAGUCUGAGCCAGGAGGACCGGUUGAGUCCAGAAGUUCUGGGCUGUAGUGUGCUAUGCCAAUCAAGUGUCUGCACUGAUAUAGUGCAGUGGCAUUGAUAUAGUGGCCUCCUGGGAGUAGGGGACUACCAGGUUGCCUACGGUGGGGUGAACCAGCCUAGGUUGGAAACAGAACACGUCAGAGUAGUGGGAUUGUGCUUGUGAAUAGCCACUUCACUCCAAUCUGGGCAACAUAAUAAAACCUCCUCUGUU